UACGUAGGGGGCUAGCGUUGUCCGGAAUCAUUGGGCGUAAAGCGCGUGUAGGCGGCCCGGUAAGUCCGCUGUGAAAGUCAAGGGCUCAACCCUUGAAAGCCGGUGGAUACUGUCGGGCUAGAGUGCGGGAGAGGCGAGUGGAAUUCCUGGUGUAGCGGUGAAAUGCGCAGAUAUCAGGAGGAACACCGGUGGCGAAGGCGGGUCUCUGGACCAGCACUGACACUGAGGCACGAAAGCGUGGGGAGCAAACAGG
rnacentral:rRNA from 1 species